UUCUAUAUUAAUUCUUUAAAUUAUUUAUGAUUGUAACAAGCCCCGAUGUAUCUCUGACGUUAUUCCUGAGAAUUAAUAAUAUUGUUUUGAUAACAAUAAGUUAUGUUUGUUUCUCAGAUGCCAUGCCUACUUAGCAAAGGGACAAAAGGCCAAGAGACUUACCUGAUGUUAAGUGGUAUCGCCGCUUAUGGAUACUCAUAUUGCCAGGAGGCUCGGCCUUUUAAGAAUUGGUAUACUCCUUUGCUGCAGGACCAGUCUAUUAAAAUUUCUUGUGAGCACCUGGAAUCUAUGUGAUUUUGGCCUAAUUGUUAUAUUCGAUGUAUUCUGUGUAUUAAAAGAAUUAAUUCUUUUUUUAAAGACCUUAUAAGCAUCUUACCCAAAAUAUUAUUGCAUACAUAUAACCGGGAGAAUUGUAAAUCUGGUUUUAACCAGCGACAUACUUUCGUCGUUACUUAUUUAUGGGAAUAUUUAUUUGCCGUAUUUUGUAGUUGUAGUAUCUUUAAGAUCUAUAUAGUGGAAAGAUGCAGUUUUGGAUAUUUUACAAUAAUUUUCACGUACCUUAAGGGAGACAUGCAUGCGUAUCGAGCGUGGAUCGGCCAUGGUGCGCAUGCGACACUGUCGUGUUUAUUGUCCUCGAGUAAUAAACGUGUUUAAUUCAACAUCCUUCUGUACUUCAUGCGUCUAUUAUGAUUCAUAUCGAUAUGGCUACUACUUUUGAGUGUACAUAUUUUAAAAUCUCUUUCUGAUAUUGUUUUGAUAUCAAUAAAAAAUUCAGAAUACAGGUUUAAAGAAUUAUGAUUUUAACAAUAGUUUACUAAUUUUACUUACUUUAACAAUUUUAAAUAGCUGAGUUCUGUGGUUCCAGCCGCAUUAAUAGCACGAUGUUCUAUAACCUGAAGUUCUCCGUAAAUAGACUAUAAGCAAAAAGUUACGCAUACGGUCUCGGAUCGCGGACUUUUUUAUAUUGAUAUCUUCUAUAAAACUGUAGUACAUCAGUUUGCUCUUUUUUAUAAUAGCUUUCGCAGCGUCCGCGAUUUAGAAAUUUUUAUUGGUUCUUUUUGAAAUGGAACCUUUUUUAAAUAUUCUAUAGCUUAUGUUCACCAGAAACGUAGGGUUCUAAUGGUAAAACAAUCAGUCUUGUAGUUUUCGAGCCUUUGCGAAUGUAUAUAAAACUUAAUUACACCAGAUAUUUGUUCUAGUUAAAAAUGUGUUCUAGUUAAAUAUGUGUGUUAUUUGUCCGGGACGAUUAAAGGUUCUAUAUGACGUCUAUUUUACUCGGCUUGUUUACCUUACACCUUUAAGUUUUAAUCUGUAUGAAUAUUUCAUGCCGAUGGUUUUGUUAUUCGCACAUGGCUUGGUGUUUGUGAUCGGUUUGUUUACAUGUUGUGCUGCAACCUUGGAACCUGUUAUCAGCAUAAUAAGCAGCUCAUACCUAAUUAGAUGUCGUUAUAUUAUUACGUUUAACAUUCAUUACUUCAUUUUGAGUCAUUGGCUAUAAUUUUUUUAUUAGCAAUACCAAUACACUUGAGACAAAAUCACUUUUCAACAGGCGUGACUCACUAACACAAAUCGAACUUGUAUGAAAUUGGUCAAGUGAUAAACGUGAGAUAAUGUCAAUUCCAUACAAAUUGUCCAUAAACCAUUGUCUAUGGUAGGAUGUUGUUAAGAACACUAAAACAUAUCAAGGUACGUAGCAUUCAUAUGUGAAUACAAUCAAAAGAAAGAAAAGAAACAAACAUGUCCAUACUAAAACGGUUACAGGUAAAAAUCGUCUUUCGACACUUUGUUACCAACGUAUCCUGAGUUUUUUGGACAUGUAACAUGCAGAGAUUCAGUAUGUUUAGGAAAACUCAUCGAGACUAGUAGAGUGUAGGGCACCAGACCUCAAGGCCGAUCCCUUAAUCGCGGGACCGAUCAAGCAAACGCCAUUUACAGGUCUUACCAUCACCCAGGCUCAGAGGCUUGCCGAAGACAGGGGAGAGACUAGGCUCUCCGCUUAGAUAUGUAUAGAAGUACCGCGACUAAAUCUCUCUCAUUUCCAGACUCGGGGGCUGUCAUCAAAAUCCACGACUUAAUUUGAAGUGAGAGUGAGAGCAAUCCAUGUGGUAUGAAAUUAUUUCAGAAUUAGUACUAUUGUUAUUUUCUUAUAUAGCCAAGUUCACAUUCCAAGGAUCGUUAUGUUAUAUGUUCAUAAGUGUACAUUGUGUUACCUAAAUGAAAAAAAGUUGUACGGCGCCACUAACAUGAUCUUCAGAAAUGAAGAAUGUGACUGAAGAAGAAGCUGACUAACUAGUAAUCCAGGCGACAGCGAUAGCGACCUGAUUGUAUGCUAUUCGCUGCAUUUCUCCGAACAUAUCCCAACCUUGAGAUGGCGCGAAAAAGAAACUCGACGAAAAUGGGUGAAAAAUAGCUGCUAGCACUUUGAGGAAGAGUUGACCUGUGUGUGUGGGUAUUCCCUUGAGAUUAUGCUGGUUUUUAGAAAGAAAAUAGUUUAUGAAGUUCCCGGGGCUUAUCAUUGUUUUUUUUAGCAGACAAGUAAGUGUUCAAACUUCUCUCUUUUAUAAACAAGCAAGUGUCAACUUAGUACUUGAUAAUAUUUUAAAAACGUUUUCUGUUUAAUGACUAUAGAACCAAUAGUAACUGUUAUUUCUUAUUCUCACAGAAUUAACUGGCUUUAAAAAUUCAAAUGUAACAUUCAUAAUUUCAAACGCCAAAACGCUUCUCUAGACAAGGUG